rnacentral:rRNA from 1 species
GUUAAAAGUGCUGGAAGUGAUGUCGGAAGCGGUCAACGUGAUUGCAGAAGGUGAAGUGCUGCAAUUGAUGAACGUGAAUGACCCGGACAUUACCGAAGAAAAUUACAUGCGGGUGAUUUACAGGUCCAGGUGUAGCGGUGAAAUGCGUAGAGAUCUGGAGGAAUACCGGUGGCGAAGGCGGCCCCCUGGACAAAGACUGACGCUCAGGUGCGAAAGCGUGGGGAGCAAACAGGAUUAGAUACCCUGGUAGU